rnacentral:piRNA from 1 species
UCCUUCUAGUUAGCAACUCGCUCGGC